CGCCUUCCUCCCCCUUUUCCCCGCCGCACCGAUGCGCUCGUGCUAGCCGAUAUGCCGCUUAUGUGGGAGAUAUGCGUCUUCCAUUCCCUCCCGAGGCAGCUGGCAGCGCAGAGGAGGUCAUCGGCACACUCCUCUACCUCUCAGGGCCCACGCCGCCGACGGUUUGUGGUCUCUGCGUGCUCGGUCGGUCGUCCUCGCUCGAUGCCCCAGUCGGUCCCGCGCGCUAUAGGAGCACAUGGACUGGGCUAGGGGAGGAGGCGGCGCGGCUCGGUCUCCAAGUUUUGCUCCGUUGUCAUCUAUGGCAAGAUGAUGGUGGGCGGCGCGGACAGCGGACAGCGGAGCGAAGCUGCUGCUGAAUGUGGUGUUCAAGGCGGACAUCCCACCGACCACUUUGGAGUACACCUUUGCUGAACCGAAUAUCGCGGCGAGGUGGGGAUUUUUUUCUCCUCCGGAGCGGUUCUGCUCCCGCCCCUCUCAUCUUGGCGGUCGACAUCCCUGCAGUUUGCGGCUGGGUCUUCGGCUAUAAAUCCAUCGAGCAAGAUGUGGGCGUGCCAAUGGCAUCUCUGCAGUUCGCGGCGGGAGGAGAAGGACCAUGUGAUGCCUCCACCCCUUUUCUGAUGGCUCCUCUGCAGUUCGCGGCGGGAGGAGAAGCACCAUGCUGGAGCCUUGCGAACGGGCAGAGCAGCUGCGCGGUCGCCGGAACAAGACGAGGUCCCAGCAGCGUCGGCGCACGGGAAGCUUACAGACGCGUCGAGGAGCAGGUUUCAGUUCGGUGAUUCAAGCGACAACGUUGUCCCCAUGGAUCCUGGAUAUCCUGCUGUGCUGGAGGAUGAAGGCGCAGUUACCACCGUCGCUGCUAUGAUGGCGUCGUCUGCAUGUGCCAAGGCUGAGAGCAUGGGUCAGGCUCAGCCCGAGCAGAAUGUAUGCGAUGAUGCAGAGAGUAGUGGUGAAUGUUGAGGUGCAACACACUCUAUUGUGCUCAUCCAUCCUGCUCUCUGUUCCCUGGGGAAGAGAGUUUUUAUGGACGAUGGCCCAUAUUCUUAUUUAGUUCAAUCAGCAUUGAAGAUAAAUCCGGAAACACCUAGCUGGACUAAGAGGUAUGUGCUAGCAGCUCGAAUCCUUGAUUUAACUUUGAUGAAUGUAAUUGAGUGUUCAUGGGUUAAUUUUUGCUGCAACCAGAUGGUAACUGAAACGAAAUUCAGAAAAAUUGGCAUGUGACUUGAGUAGACCAUAGAUACAUUUAGAUGAGUAUAGGCUGCCACGCAUGUACUAAUUUGGUUCAUACAAAAAUCGUGACUUAAGUUUAAUUGAACGGAGAGUUGGCUCUACAACACUUGCUUCUUUUUUUUCAGAGAUUUAGAUAAGAUUGUGCAGGUGCCUUGAGUAAAUCAUAGACCGUUUUGAGUACAUUUUGAUAUGUAGGCUAUUUUUUACUGUUUACCUCCCAAAUUUUUUUGUAGCUCAUAUGGAGCCUCAAAUUGAUUGUGCUGCCAGUGUGUUCCUGUUUUCUUUUCAGCUGAAAGUCAAAAUUUUACAUGCAUGACUGUUUUCUUGACAGCUUUGAGAGAAGAAGAAUAAGAACUGCCUUUUCACAACUUUUAGUUUUGAGUUACCACCUAUUCCUAUGCUCCUGUUAUUACUUUUUCCUGUCAUAUAUAGAUAAAUGAGCAAGGGUCCAUUUAGUUUGGGCUCCAAGUAUUACAUUAGGGAUUGCACAUUAUUGGAAACUCUACAAGUCCAAGUACUUAUGAUCUGUUUUGGUGCUAGCUGGGGCUGUGCACAAAUUAAGGAAUACCAAUCAUCAUGGCUUCCUUUGCGGAAUUGAAACUGAUAAUCAAGUUUAGAAUUGAUCUUAAGUUGGCCCUUCCGCAAGAUACAAGUAUUAUUGAGCAAAUUGAUCGGAGUGGGGUAUGUAGCGUAUCUUAAUCCAAUAUACUACGCCCUUCAUUUUUUUUGUAAUUGUCGUAGUAUUUUUCCAUCGUUUUAGUCUGCUUGAUUUUGCGAUAAUACAACAAUUGAGGUGCUUGGUUGUGGGAUUUCCUUGUGCUCUGUUAGUGACUCAAUGGAAGGGUUUCUCUAGCAGAUAGGGAUGGGCAUUUGGAUGGAUGAGAAGAUACCUUGCUAAGCUCUCUCGAGAUUCAGUAGAAGCAUAGUUGCCCCCUUUAUUUAAAAAGAUGAAGCCGGUGGUUUCCAUCGGGUGGAGGAAGAGGCGAACAACUCAUUCCAUUUGGUUUUCUGGCAACACCAAAUCCUUACUGGAAAAAAACUCUGAAUGGUCAAUGCAACUAUGCUGUGAAGAGGGACCAAUAGUUUAAGUAUUGUUUUAUUGAGCAGCUCCAGAACAUAUUACAUAUUCGCUUGACUAUCUAUUUCAGCUUAUUUCCAAAAGUGAUGGUUAUAAUGUCUCAACAACCUAACUAACUAAAAAAAGGCUGUAGAAGGUAUCUCUCCUCUCUUUCAGAAUAUUUUCAUCUAUCUACUGUUCCAUUUUGAUUUUUUGGUUUGUUGUUCAGAUGAUUCAUAUGUGCAUCUAGGUUGUUCUCAUAGGAUUUAUAUUCAUGUGUUUUUUACAGUGCCUCCGGUUUGUUGUAGCAAAAUGGCAUGUGCUUACAUUUAUUCAGUUCUUCUCUCAAAGUUUAACUCAAGUCUGAGUGAUCCAGUUUUUGUUUAUAUGCAGAUUAUAUGGAGUGUGCUUCAGCAGAUACUUACCAUCCUUACAAGUCGUGUCAACAACUCAUUCCGGGUAUUUGAGAUUGCCACUCUUUUGUAUGGAAAUGAAUCAGCCAUUUGCUUCCUCUGUGUUAAUGCAUAUGGAAAUGCUAUCUGGUUCUGUGAUUAUGUUCCUCUCAUAUCUUCUUUGUAAUAUGUCAGUCAUUUUUCUAAAUAUGUUUACAAAAAGAUUAUAUUCACAUACUACCUCUUCUAUCCAACCAUUCAAAAAUGCUUCUUUUAAUCUAACAUGCAACUAUUCUCAUAAGUAUCAGCAGAAGGUACUUAUAUGCUUCAAUGAUAUCAGUUGGCAGUAUGGUUCACAAUUUCUAGAGCCCACAAGAAAAUUUAAUACUGUUACUGAUCGAACACCAAUUUUGUUAGAUAAGAAUAUAUGUUUCUUAGCUAGGGCAAAAAAGAGUUUUGUUUACAUUUGUAGUUGUACCCCUAUGUUUUCACCACUAGGUAAUCUAUUUGGAUUGACGUUGAGAUUCUCCACCUUGAUGGAAAGAAGAGACCUGAGAGCGAUACUACAAUCAAACAUACACUUGCUCAUCAUGGAACUACUUCAAGGGAAACAAUGCUAGCCAUUACCUUACAGUCUGCGGCCUAAGAUGCCAAAGGUCUGAACUUCCAAUAGCAACACCAAAUAUUUCUACAUACAUACGCGGUCGACCGCAGGUAUUCUCCAUAUAAAACUUAGGUGUUAGUUCUUGCUCCAGGUACAGGUAAGAACGCUCCAUAUCUUUUUGCUUACUUUGUUUGGUUCUUUCCACGUAUAAUAUUAUGUUAUUUGUCAGAUGUUUUUGUUGCUACGAAAAUAUUUCUAUCAGCCUAGAAAAUUGUUCCUUUAUACUUUUUCAAAUGUUUGUCAUAUGCCCAGAUCAAAUUUUUCUUUACUACUUUUAUGUUCUUUUCCUGAAAUCGCUCCUGUCAUUUUUUUUUCUUUACUACUUAUAUAGGUUUAAGAAUUCGACUACCUUUUUUUAUUUCACACACAAUCUAAAUUUUCAUCAAGGUAUAUCUGUUGUUUAUGUACAUGCCAAGUUUGAGGCUAUGAGCGAUUCAAGAAGAGCCCCCCUCUCAGUUUUAGAGAUUGGCAACUAAUAAAGUAAUUC